ACUUCAGUCGUGUCCGACUCUGUGCAACCCCAUAGACGGCAGCCCACCAGGCUCCCCCGUCCUUGGGAUUCUCCAGGCAAGAACACUGGGACACAAAUAGUUUGGAUAAUUUGAAUAACCCCAGAGGUACCCUAUCCUGGAAGCUCACACAAAGGAUUAUCCAAGAGCUUGUGGAGGCUGCCUCCCGCUCUUGUAUGCACCUUCCGCUUCUGUGUGAAAUUUCUUUGAAAAAUGAGUUUUACUCUGGAGCAGCAGUCCUGAGGAGGUUACGUGUUCAGAGCCUGAGUCACUCUGUGGGAGAAGUUUGGACAAGACGAAUCUUCCAGUGUUGAAGG
ensembl:lncRNA